GAUGAACGCUAGCGGCAGGCUUAACACAUGCAAGUCGAGGGGCAGCACGGGUAGCAAUACCUGGUGGCGACCGGCGCAAGGGUGCGUAACGCGUGAGCAACAUGCCCUAUACAGGGGGAUAAUCCAGGGAAACUUGGUCUAAUAUCCCAUAGCAUUUAGAGGAGGCAUCUUCACUAAAUUAAAGCUUCGGUGGUAUAGGAUUGGCUCGCGUGACAUUAGCUAGAUGGUGAGGUAACGGCCCACCAUGGCUAUGAUGUCUAGGGGUUCUGAGAGGAAGACCCCCCACACUGGGACUGAGACACGGCCCAGACUCCUACGGGAGGCAGCAGUGAGGAAUAUUGGACAAUGGAUGGAAAUCUGAUCCAGCCAUGCCGCGUGCAGGAAGACGGCCCUAUGGGUUGUAAACUGCUUUUAUAUGGGAGCAAUAAGGUUUACGAGUAGACCGAUGGAGAGUACCAUAUGAAUAAGCAUCGGCUAA
rnacentral:rRNA from 1 species